rnacentral:rRNA from 1 species
UGGGGAAUUUUGCACAAUGGGGGAAACUCUGAUGCAGCGACGCCGCGUGAUUUAGAAGGCCUUCGGGUUGUAAAAAUCUUUUGUAUGGGAAGAAAAUGACAGUACCAUACGAAUAAGGACCGGCUAAUUACGUGCCAGCAGCCGCGGUAAUACGUAAGGUCCGAGCGUUGUCCGGAAUCAUUGGGCGUAAAGGGUACGUAGGCGGAUAAGCAAGUUAGAAGUGAAAUCCUAUAGCUCAACUAUAGUAAGCUUUUAAAACUGCUCAUCUUGAGGUAUGGAAGGGAAAGUGGAAUUCCUAGUGUAGCGGUGAAAUGCGCAGAUAUUAGGAGGAAUACCGGUGGCGAAGGCGACUUUCUGGCCAUAUACUGACGCUGAGGUACGAAAGCGUGGGUAGCAAACAGG